rnacentral:rRNA from 1 species
UACGAAGGGGGCUAGCGUUGUUCGGAAUUACUGGGCGUAAAGGGCGCGUAGGCGGUGUGUCAAGUCAGGCGUGAAAGCCCCGGGCUCAACCUGGGAACCGCGCUUGAGACUGGCACGCUCGAGUUCGGGAGAGGAUGGUGGAAUUCCCAGUGAUAGAGGUGAAAUUCGUAGAUAUGCGGAGGAACACCGAUGGCGAAGGCAAUCCCCUGGGCCUGCACU